rnacentral:sRNA from 1 species
AUCUUUGCAUGGAUGAUGAUA